UAUGAACGCUGGCGGCGUGCCUAAUACAUGCAAGUCGAGCGAACAGACGAGGAGCUUGCUCCUCUGAUGUUAGCGGCGGACGGGUGAGUAACACGUGGAUAACCUACCUAUAAGACUGGGAUAACUUCGGGAAACCGGAGCUAAUACCGGAUAACAUGUUGAACCGCAUGGUUCAACAGUGAAAGACGGUCUUGCUGUCACUUAUAGAUGGAUCCGCGCCGCAUUAGCUAGUUGGUAAGGUAACGGCUUACCAAGGCAACGAUGCGUAGCCGACCUGAGAGGGUGAUCGGCCACACUGGAACUGAGACACGGUCCAGACUCCUACGGGAGGCAGCAGUAGGGAAUCUUCCGCAAUGGGCGAAAGCCUGACGGAGCAACGCCGCGUGAGUGAAGAAGGUCUUCGGAUCGUAAAACUCUGUUAUUAGGGAAGAACAAAUGUGUAAGUAACUAUGCACGUCUUGACGGUACCUAAUCAGAAAGCCACGGCUAACUACGUG
rnacentral:rRNA from 1 species